UACGAAGGGGGCUAGCGUUGUUCGGAUUUACUGGGCGUAAAGGGUACGUAGGCGGCUUGACAAGUUGGGGGUGAAAUCCCGGGGCUCAACCCCGGAACUGCCUCCAAAACUGUCAGGCUAGAGAUCGAGAGAGGUGAGUGGAAUUCCUAGUGUAGAGGUGAAAUUCGUAGAUAUUAGGAGGAACACCGGUGGCGAAGGCGGCUCACUGGCUCGAUACUGACGCUCAGGUACGAAAGCGUGGGGAGCAAACAGG
rnacentral:rRNA from 1 species